GACUUAUGGGUGCCGUAUUUAUGUUAUGUAAUCUUGUGUUGUGCUUUACUAUGUGUUUGUGUGGUAUCUCGUGCCUUGAGCCGGGGGUCUAUCGGAAACAGCCUUUCUACUUCUUUAGAGGUAGAGGUAUGGACUGCGUACAUCUUACCCCCCAAGACCCCACUAGGUGGGAAUACACUGGGUUUGUUGUUGUUGUUGU
rnacentral:lncRNA from 1 species